rnacentral:antisense_RNA from 1 species
GAAAAGACAGAGAAUUCAUGUGCUGCCCAGGCAUAGCCACAUAGCAGGUGGACAUCCCUGGACACUUUUCUGACAAAGCAUGCAAUGUGGGGACAACACGGAAAUCCAAGAAAGGCAAGACCAAUUUCAAGGCACUAAAUAAGUGGACUGAGAUAAGAAGUACACAGAUACUUCCCAGAACAAAACCCUCAUUGGAUUUUCCUGGAAGUAUGGAGAGUUACAUCCAGAGAACUCUGAACAUUUUGGAAGAACCCCAAUCCUGCAAACAAUGAAUGGCAAUAAAUCCUGGGACUGGAAAGGGGCUUCUCAACCCCAAGGGCAACCAUAAAGUCCUAUACAAAGAAAGAUACAGCAGUGUGAAAGAGGCCUGGAUGGAAAAACAAAGACAGAGCCAGUGAGCCAGAGCCAGAGCCAGAGAACAAGAGAGAAAGGCAGAGAAUGGAAAACACAGACAGAGAAGGCAGAUGCAUAGAAAGACAGAGAUUCAAUGAGAAAAUAAGGAAGGAAGAAAGAAAGAAAACAAAAACGUUCUCAGCACUACAACUUCUGCCUUGUUCUGUUCCAGAACAGUAUGAGCUCAGUACUUUUUCAGUCUCUCAAUUUUCUACAACUAAUAAUUUGCUCUUUCAGUUAGUGGCAAAGGCUUAACAACAAAGGUUCAUCUUUAAUAUUAGAGAGGCACUUUUAAAAUUUAUGAUGCUAAGCCUUUUGUUCUGGAUAUGGUAUGUUGCACAGGUCUAAGGACUGGGAUUUCAGGUGUCUAGCCCAUACCCUUAUUCUUUUAUUUAUUAAAUCUUUUAGUGUG